rnacentral:rRNA from 1 species
GAUGAACGCUGGCGGCGUGCCUAAUACAUGCAAGUCGAGCGAACAGAUGAGGAGCUUGCUCCUCUGACGUUAGCGGCGGACGGGUGAGUAACACGUGGAUAACCUACCUAUAAGACUGGGAUAACUUCGGGAAACCGGAGCUAAUACCGGAUAAUAUAUUGAACCGCAUGGUUCAAUAGUGAAAGACGGUUUUGCUGUCACUUAUAGAUGGAUCCGCGCCGCAUUAGCUAGUUGGUAAGGUAACGGCUUACCAAGGCAACGAGGCGUAGCCGACCUAAGAGGGUGAUCGGCCGCGCUGGAACGGCGACACGCUCCAGACCCCUACGGGAGGCAGCAGUAGGGAAGCUGGCGCAAGGGGCGGAAGCCUGACGGAGCAACGCAGCGUGAGUGAUGAAGGUCUUGGGAUCGUAAAACGCUGUUAUGAGGGAAGAACAAAUGUGUAAGGAACUAUGCACGUCUUGACGGUACCUAAGCAGAAAGCAACGGCUAACUACGUG